rnacentral:rRNA from 1 species
AUUGAACGCUGGCGGCAGGCCUAACACAUGCAAGUCGAGCGGAUGGAGGGAGCUUGCUCCUGGAUUCAGCGGCGGACGGGUGAGUAAUGCCUAGGAAUCUGCCUGGUAGUGGGGGAUAACGUCCGGAAACGGGCGCUAAUACCGCAUACGUCCUGAGGGAGAAAGUGGGGGAUCUUCGGACCUCACGCUAUCAGAUGAGCCUAGGUCGGAUUAGCUAGUUGGUGGGGUAAAGGCCUACCAAGGCGACGAUCCGUAACUGGUCUGAGAGGAUGAUCAGUCACACUGGAACUGAGACACGGUCCAGACUCCGACGGGAGGCAGCAGUGGGGAAUAUUGGACAAUGGGCGAAAGCCUGAUCCAGCCAUGCCGCGUGUGUGAAGAAGGUCUUCGGAUUGUAAAGCACUUUAGGUUGGGAGGAAGGGCAGUAAGUUAAUACCUUGCUGUUUUGACGGUACCAACAGAAUAAGCACCGGCUAACUUCGUG